rnacentral:rRNA from 1 species
AACGAACGCUGGCGGCAGGCCUAACACAUGCAAGUCGAGCGAUCGCAGCAAUGCGGGAGCGGCAGACGGGUGAGGAACACGUGGGAACAUACCCUUUGGUUCGGAAUAACUCAGGGAAACUUGAGCUAAUACCGGAUAAGUCGGCAACGAGAAAGAUUCAUCGCCGAAGGAUUGGCCCGCGUCCGAUUAGCUAGUUGGUGUGGUAAUGGCGCACCAAGGCGACGAUCGGUAGCUGGUCUGAGAGGAUGAUCAGCCACAUUGGGACUGAGACACGGCCCAAACUCCUACGGGAGGCAGCAGUGGGGAAUAUUGGACAAUGGGCGCAAGCCUGAUCCAGCCAUGCCGCGUGAGUGAUGACGGCCCUAGGGUUGUAAAGCUCUUUCACCCACGACGAUAAUGACGGUAGUGGGAGAAGAAGCCCCGGCUAACUUCGUG